AACGAACGCUGGCGGCAUGCCUAACACAUGCAAGUCGAACGAGACCUUCGGGUCUAGUGGCGCACGGGUGCGUAACGCGUGGGAACCUGCCCUUAGGUUCGGAAUAACUCCCCGAAAGGGGUGCUAAUACCGGAUAAUGUCUUCGGACCAAAGAUUUAUCGCCUUUGGAUGGGCCCGCGUUGGAUUAGCUAGUUGGUAGGGUAAAAGCCUACCAAGGCGACGAUCCAGAGCUGGUCUGAGAGGAUGAUACGCCACACUGGGACUGAGACACGGCCCCGACUCCUACGGGAGGCAGCCAUGGGGAAUAUUGGCCAAUGGGCGAAAGCCUGAUCCAGCAAUGCCGCGUGAGUGAUGAAGGCCUUAGGGUUGUAAAGCUCUUUUACCCGGGAUGAUAAUGACGGUACCGGGAGAAUAAGCUCCGGCCAACUCCGUG
rnacentral:rRNA from 1 species